GGGCAGUUAGCUCAGUUGGUUAGAGUGCCGUCUUGACAUGGCGGAGGUCACAGGUUCAAAUCCUGUACUGCCCA
rnacentral:tRNA from 1 species